rnacentral:lncRNA from 1 species
CCCUUUUUCCCCUAUAUCCUGAGUCAUAAGCACAGGCCACUCCCACAUCCCCUCCCCGUGAAGUACAUCCUGUGGUUAAUGGCAUGGUAUUGAGCAUUGCAUCCAUGUAUGUCUAGCAUUCCUUGGAUCCCUGGAGAAUGCUACUUGUUGAAGAUUUGGAUGUACCAAAGCCAGAUGUAUGCUCAGAAGACAUCUAGUUGGGCACACUGCUGGUGUCUGGGGAAUGACAUGGCAGGAAAUGAAUCUAAUCAACCUGAAUCCGAGGUUUUGCUUAUGCUAUUGCGAAGCAUUUCUUCAUGA